GCUUCACUAUUUCAUCCAAUCGAUACAAAUUAAUUUGAUCCGAUAACUUUUUCAAUUCAAAAGUUCGAAAUUUGCAAUUUUAUAAAUAAUUUAUAUUUUCAUAUAUAUUUGUAUAAAUAUAUAUAUUUUAUAUAUCUAAUUACUUUCUUAUUUUUUUACCUGAAUCGUCCGAUCAAAUGAUCGGACGGUUCAAAUGUUGAUUUAUAUUUUCAAAUCAGUGUAAUAAAUGAUACGCAGGAAAGGCAAAAGCACCCGUGUUUUUCUUUCCAAGAAACCAACGUAUGGUCACCAUCACAUCCCAAAACGCGAUACAAACCAACAUUUUUUCCUCUGUCUUCCCUCUCCCCUUCUCCAUCUUGCCAAAACUAGAACCAUAGUUGCCCUUGGUAGCCAUAGUUACCGCUGAUCUAGAAAGAUCCCAUCCCAAAAUCACCUCUUCCAACCCCAAAAACCAAAAUUAGAAAAAAGCAAAGCCCCAAAUUCAUGCAAGAAACGAACAAUCGGUCCAAAACAGCCAUUAAUGGCUUCAAAUUUGAAGAUCCAAUUCAGCAAUUUAAAAUUUAAAAUCUAUCCCCUUCUUACCGUUUUUAUUUUAAGGUUUCAAAUUCGGACUUUUUCAAGUCCAAUUUUGUACUUAUAAAUAUGGGUUGUUUCAUAUUCUCCAAAAAAAAAAAAAGUAUUGAGGAGAAAGGCAAAAAAGGAGGGAAAGAUCUGAAGAGAGGAGGGAUAGAUAAAAACAAGUAAAAAAAAAGGGGGCAACAAAAACAGAAGUGAAAACGAGAAAUUCGUGAGAAAAAAAAAAAAGAGGAAAAACGAGCAAACAUUUUUACAAGCAAGAGUUACAAAUUUUGUCACUAGUCACUAGUUUUUCUUCUCACUUUGAUCUGAGUUUGAGUUUUGGGGUAGCUCGAGUUCGGAGUUGAAGUCUUGACGUCGAGCUCCAGUUUUGCUGCCUUGAAAAAUGUGCGAAUCCCGUCUCACUUCCAUCCCCUUUUAUUUUGUCUUGUUUGGAUCAGUGAAUAUAUUCGUUUAGUUUAAGUUUAAAUUCGUUGAACUUCGGUGCUAAUGUUGUUAAAGAUGGAUGGCUAUGAGAAUUUCAAUCUUCAAGUUAUUGGUGACUGAUUUCAAAAUUGGGUUUGCAUUUGAUUUUUGUUAAGUUUGUGUUUGUUGUCGCUUCCUCUAUCUUACGAAUAAAAUAUGGUGUUGGUUUCGUGAAACCAUUUGGUGGAUCAGAAGGUGAACAUUCGGGUAGUCAAUUAGGUGAACUACUAAGAUUACCCGUCUUGACGGAGCAAUUGAGGUGUGCUGGUUAUUAGGAGAAAUUUAAAGGGAAUUUUAUGAUGUAGCAAGUCUUGUUGUGUAGUUUGUUCUGUAAUCGUGGGUUCCCAAAUUUUUUAUUUUUUUGAGAUCCUAAUUUAUCUUUUUGCAUUGGUUUAUGUAAUCUCAUGGUUUAAUCCCGUUUUCUUAAGUGAACUGGUGUUUUUGAUUUGUGGGUUUAUUCUACUUUUGUUAAAGGAAGUGACUUUUCACUAUUUUAAGUUGUUACUAGUUAUUACUGUGUCAAAUUUGGAAAAAGUCUUUGAUUUUUAUCGGUACAUAAGACAUAGAAUGCAUUUCUCGGGCAUUAAGUGGUGGAAAUUGUUAGCCAAGGGUCUAACGGAAACAUACUCUCUACCUUCUAGUGGUAGCGGUAAGAUUUGCAAACACUGUAUCCCAAAUCCCACUUGUGGUCUACACUUUGUCUGAUGUUCGUUGUUAUAAUUAGACUGUUAUGGUAUCAACACUCAUAUUAGAAUACUCUUAAGGUAAUCUCUUAUUUUAGUAAUUUUUUUAUACUAAUUUACAUCAACUGAUUAAGAAAAAUUUUCUGUUGGAUGUAUUGCCUUCUUUUGCCUUUCUCCGUUGUGCCUUAAAUGGUUACUUUUGUUUGUCUUUUGCAUUUUAAGAAAAUUGAACCUUUUCAAUUUCUCAGUUUGAAGCAGAGUAAUAACUUUAUAAAUAGUUUUGUACGUCGUCUAGCUAUCUUGGUAACGAAGAAUUCGAUGCAUACAUACUUGAUUAGGACCCAAAGAUCAAAUAAUAAUUAUUUUCACAACAACUAUUUUACAUCAUAUUUAUUAUUACCAUUAUUAUUUACACUAUAAUAUUUGUUGCUAUUUCAAUUAUUAUUAUUAUUAUUAUUAUUAUUAUUAAUAAUAAUAAUAAUAAUAAUAAUAAUACUAUUAUUAUUAUUGUCAUUAUCUCAAUUUUGUCACGCUUAGGUAUCAUAUUAUCACAUUUAUCUUUUUGCUUAUUUCUUAUCUAAAUCUAUUUAAGUUUCACAAAUUAAGUAAAAAAAAAUUCGUACUUUCAAAUAUAUCCAUAUUCUUAUUUUGUCUUAAAUAAAUCCAUGCCUUAAAAUAUUUUUAUAAAUUUUAUUUACCUAUUCAAUUUUAUACAUGUAAAGAUAGUAAAAUUUUUCCUUUAUCUUAUCGGAAUCAUAAAAAAUAAAAAGCUAUUUCAUAUCUUAAGGUAUCCAUGUAACAUAUAUACAUAUGCAAUGAUUGCAUUAUUUGCUUGUGCAUGGUAGCAUCAUGUGUGUUAUACCUUAAGUUUUCUAUCUUCUAUAUAAAAUAACAAGUAGAAAAUAAUGAUGAAAGUUUUCUUAUCACAAUUUUCGCAAAUAAAUAAAAGCAAUGAUUUUUUCUAAACUAAGCAUAAGGACUAUCCUCGGAUAGGCUCUGAGGGGUGCCUAACACCUUCCUCUUGAGUAACCAAAACCCUUACUCAGAAUCUCUAAAUAUUUUCAAAAGACCAAAACAGAGUUUUCGACAUACAAAAUGAUUUUUUCCUAAUUUUCCUAAAAAGUUAGGUGGCGGCUCUAAAAAAUAAAUUUAGGGCUCAACAUUAAUCACUCCAUCAUGUUUUGCCUUGCACUCUUCACAUUUGCCUGCAUAAGAUAAGCAAGGAGGGGCAAGAUUGAUCAUUCUUC
rnacentral:lncRNA from 1 species